rnacentral:lncRNA from 1 species
CAGCAUAAAAAAAUUAAAACAAAAGGUGCAGCCCCUUUUCUCUGCUAGGGUUUCUUUCAACCCUCCCUUUGCGCCGAGGCUCCGAUCGCGACGGAGGUGGCGUCGAUUCGACGACUCCGGCGAAAGAGGUAAGUUUCCCUUCUCUUUGCACAAUCAAGUUUAAAUAAUUGUCUUUCUAUUUUUGUAUCUUUUACACUGAUUUUUUCUCUUCUCAGUACCGAAAAAUUCCCCCCCCCCUUUACUGAUUUUUCAAGGCUUUAAAUAGCCGAAAAUGAAAAACCCCUGAAUCCCCAUCCAAAAAGCAUAUCUAUUUUGUUUUUGUUGGUAUAUUUGCCCAAUUUUUGCUCUUCUGUUUUGAGUUUGUUGUUGCAGGUAUUGUUGGCGCAUGGAGCGGUGCACGCUGGGGAGGGUCGUGGCGCGAGAUUCGCGGCGGUGUGCGAGGGUGGUACUGGAGACUGCUAGGGCUUGCAGCGUUGGGGCCAAAGCUGCUAGGGUUUUCGGUAGAAAAUUUGGUUAGUGGGCUGUUGGGGUUUGGGCCUAGGUUUAGUUUAUUGGGUUGUUUUACUAUUUGUAAGGCCUGGACCAUUUGGGCCGAUUACAAUAAUAAUAAUAACUUAAUUAGUUUAAUGAUAAGGAAGGACUAAAUUAAAAAUAAACAAAAUCUCAGGGGCAAGAUCGAGAGUAAAUAAAAGAUAAAAAUAUCAAAUUGAACACGCGGAUGACAAGGAGGGGUGAAUGGGAAAUAAUCCCAUCCUCCAAAAUGCGUAGUUCCAUUAGGGAUUGAAAUGUGAUGAAAAUAAAAUUAUCAGGCUUAAUUGAAAGAAAUAAAAACAAUCAGAAGGAUCUAAUUGAAACAAGUGUAAAAUGCGGAAGGACCUAGAGGGAUAUUCUCCCAUUUUAAAAGAAAACACGCGGAUCCCUGGGUGCGGGUCGUCCAAAACGGCGCCGUUUUGGCGCUAAAACCCCCAGGUGAAACGAUGUUAUUUUAUUUGUGCUAUAAAAGCAAAAAUUUAUUCAAAAAUUUUCAUUUCUCCCUUCUUUAAAACAAAAAAAAAAAACCAGAAAAACCUCUCUAGCCCCCCUUUCACUCCCCAGAGCCCGGCCAAAGGUACGGCCAUCGGCCGCAGUGUCGGCUGCCGGCCAUCGGCAAUGUCGCCACCGUGCGCGGUUUCCGGAAAAGGGGAAAACUUUAGAUCUAGCAUUUUCUAACCUCUCAAGCCCAAAUCUGUGUUAAAAUCCCCAAAAUAUUAACCAAAAAGCCCCAAAAGCUCAAGAAACCUUUCGGUUUCAGGCCGCCUAUCCUCGGAGGUGACUUCCUUGGUCGUCCACGGCUUCGGAGACUCGAAUAUAGGUCAGUUUGACUCUCUUUUCCUGUUUAUUUUACUUUUUUUGUAUAUGUAAAUGUAAUAAAAACAAAAUAACACAAAAAAAAUCAAAAGAUUAAGCGGAGAAAAAAAUGGAAAGUAAAAACCUUUCGGGCUUUCUAUUGAAUUUUUCUUUCAAUAUUCGAUUCUCUAUUUUUUAUUUAUUUUUGAAUCGGUCCCCCCUUUUUACAUUGGUUUUAUGCGGCUCUUAUAGCUGAAAAUACUUGCCACUGUUCCUCGCUAUCUGCUGCUUCUGUUUCUUUCUCUUAUUGUUUGCAGGUCUGUGGAGACAAUUGGCAGAAAGAUUUGCCAUUUUGGUGCAACAUGGGUGAAAGGCAUCGUAAUUGGGCAUAGUGCGCGCUGAGGGUGCACAUGGGGCAGCUGCGGCGCGAGGGAAGGGAUAAAACCCUAGGGUUCCCUGAUGCUGUUUAGUUUUUGGGCCCAUUGGGCAGUUUAGGGUUUUUUAAAAUUUGGGUUGUUUGGCCCGUUGUACAUGGACUGCUAUAUAUUUUUUGACUGUUUAUUUUUUGGUUUUAUUUCAGGCCCGGGCGAAAUAUAGGCUUUACAGCCAUUAUCUAGUUUAAAAAGUCUAUUUCAUCAAACACAACAAUGUUGAGUUUUUUAAGCAACAAUCGGUGAAGUGAAUAAUACAUGUGGUUUAACAAUGCCAUCUCAUGUUUCAAACUUUGUGUAGAAAAAUUUACCUUGCAGAUAUAUCUAUCACCCUAAACAUUUGGUCAAACUAACGCAAACUUGAAUUAAAUUUAAAAUUAUCAAAAUUUAAAAUGAUUUGAAUUUGACCUAUGAGAAUCCGAAUCUUAAACUUAAAAUUUAACUCAAAACAUCUUUAAUCCAAAAAAAAUAAAAAAUCGAAUUGAUCCGAUUCAAAUUAACUUGUUU